rnacentral:rRNA from 1 species
UACAGAGGUCUCAAGCGUUUGUUCGGAUUCAUUGGGCGUAAAAGGGGUGCGUAGGCGGCGCGGUAAGUCGGGUGUGAAAUCUUGGAGCUUAACUCCGAAACUGCAUUCGAUACUGCCGUGCUUGAGGACUGGAGAGGAGACUGGAAUUUACGGUGUAGCGGUGAAAUGCGUAGAUAUCGUAAGGAAGACCAGUGGCGAAGGCGGAUCUCUGGACAG